GCCAUGAUUGUGAGGCUUCUUCAGCCACGUGGAACUGUCUGCUGUGGUUUGCUGGGGUGCUACUCCUGACCCUAGUUGCCUUAGUUUUUCCCGUACCUGGGGGUAUCACCAGUGAAGGCUGUAAAAAGGCAAAGAUGGCAGCCUGCCCCUUCCUCUGGAAGCUCUGUUCCAGGUGCCGUGGAAGUGUGGCCUGCAGAACAAUGCUGCUCAGCUCCCUGGAUUCUGACCACUUCCUAGGGAUGACCAUGGAAGGUUGGUUGGAAUUUGGAAUGCAGCCCAGGGAAAUACUGCUCACCUAAGUAGCUCUUGUUUAACUUUAGUGGAGGAGAAGGUAAAAAUGAAUGCCCACUCUGUGGAUGAAGGUAGGUUUUGGAGCUCAUUUAUUCAUCUCUUUCCCAGGUUGGCACGAAUUAAAAUAAAAAAAUUAAUCUCACUCUGUCUCCAGCUAUUGUAAAACAAUUUCUGAUUUUUGUUUGUCUUUUCUUAUUCUUUUUCUCAAACUCUCCAGCUUCACUAAAUUUAAUUUAUGAUGUUUUAAACUAAAUAAACUGAAAAAGACUUCGAGAUGAAUCAUUUUCUAUUUAUAAUUUGUUUAGGUAUCCCAGUUUUUCAGUCAUAUCUCUUGAAAGACUCAGGAUUUUUAUCAUAACCUUUUAAAAUUUGGUAUAUUACCCUUGAGGGGUAAGUGCGAUGUUUGCCUAGAAUCCUGCAAUUUAUGAAUUUAAACAGCAAAAAUAAAUCACUACCGGCAUUAUAUUAACAAAAGAUUUAUAGUCACCACAAAGCUGCAAACAAUAAGAUGUUGUUAUUUAGCUUCAACUUGAUUAAAAAACUGAGCAAGUGAUUAUACAUUCAUGGCUUUUGCUCCUGUAGCUCAAUGUGAAAUAUAGUAUGGGAACCAGUUUUCUAGGUGUUUCGGUUACCUAUUAUAUAUAGCUUGGGGUGGUUUGUUACCACCCCAUCAGCAUUGUUCUGAAGCUGCAAUGAGAUGGGCAAUAUAAGGUCUAUAAGCAUUCAAUUAUUAUGAACUAUUAUUAUUAUCUUCCCUUAUGAUUUCAAGCACAUUUAUAACAUAAUAGUUAUUUUAACUUGUAUUUUCCUAGGCUCCCUGUAGUUUAAACAGCCAGGUUGAUGAUGAUGCCCUUUACUAAAAUAGAAGGAAUGAGACAAAAAUAUGUAAUUUUGCAAGGAAUGAUUCUAGAGGCUGUUAAGAAUAUGUAUGAGCAUAUAUUCAAUUGUUCAUGUAUACAUGCAUAGAUUUAAUAUAUGCAGAUGUAUAACGAGAGAGAGGGAGAGAGAGAAAGAGAGAGGGAGAUAAUGAGAGAGAGGUAAGGGGUAAAUAAUUUUGGAGCCAACUAUCCCAGCUGAUAAUGCAUAACUAAGACCUUCAUUACUCUUUGCUCUUGAAGACAGAAAUUUUACCUUAUUCAUCUUUAUAGUUUCUCUAACACACAACAUUAUCUGUCAACUUCAUGUGGCAGGGCAUUCAUAAUUUUUUUUGCUAAACUGUACUAACAUAUUCCAGCUAGAGUCAGCAUGAGAAAUAAUCUGGAGACAAUUUUUGAAGCUCCUCAUUAUUUCACAGAUUCAGUUAUUCCAGGUUAAACCAUGCCUUUCA
rnacentral:lncRNA from 1 species